rnacentral:rRNA from 1 species
ACGAACGCUGGCGGCGUGCUUAACCCAUGCAAGUCGAACGGAAAGGCCCUGCUUUUGUGGGGUGCUCGAGUGGCGAACGGGUGAGUAACACGUGAGUAACCUGCCCUUGACUUUGGGAUAACUUCAGGAAACUGGGGCUAAUACCGGAUAGGAGCUCCUGCUGCAUGGUGGGGGUUGGAAAGUUUCGGCGGUUGGGGAUGGACUCGCGGCUUAUCAGCUUGUUGGUGGGGUAGUGGCUUACCAAGGCUUUGACGGGUAGUCGGCCUGAGAGGGUGACCGGCCACAUUGGGACUGAGAUACGGCCCAGACUCCUACGGGAGGCAGCAGUGGGGAAUAUUGCACAAUGGGCGGAAGCCUGAUGCAGCAACGCCGCGUGCGGGAUGACGGCCUUCGGGUUGUAAACCGCUUUCGCCUGUGACGAAGCGUGAGUGACGGUAAUGGGUAAAGAAGCACCGGCUAACUACGUG